GGGGGUGUGGCUCAGCACAGCACCUGUCUGGCAAGCCCAAGACCCUGAGUUCGAUUCCCGGUACCCCCC
rnacentral:tRNA from 1 species